rnacentral:rRNA from 1 species
UACGAAGGGGACUAGCGUUGUUCGGAAUUACUGGGCGUAAAGCGCACGUAGGCGGAUUUGUAAGUCAGUGGUGAAAUCCCGGGGCUCAACCUCGGAACUGCCUUUGAUACUGCAAAUCUCGAGUCCGAUAGAGGUGGGUGGAAUUCCUAGUGUAGAGGUGAAAUUCGUAGAUAUUAGGAAGAACACCGGUGGCGAAGGCGGCCCACUGGAUCGGUACUGACGCUGAGGUGCGAAAGCGUGGGGAGCAAACAGG